AUUGAACGCUGGCGGCGUGCUUAACACAUGCAAGUCGAUCGGUAACGCGGGGGCAACCCUGGCGACGAGAGGCGGACGGGUGAGGAACGCUUGGGAAUCUGCCCUUCAGCGGGGGACAACACGGGGAAACUCGUGCUAAUACCGCAUACGCUCCACGGAGGAAAGCCGGGGACCGCAAGGCCUGGCACUGAAGGAUGAGCCCAAGUCGGAUUAGCUAGUUGGCGGGGUAGCGGCCCACCAAGGCGACGAUUCGUAGCUGGUCUGAGAGGACGAUCAGCCACACUGGGACUGAGACACGGCCCAGACUCCUACGGGAGGCAGCAGUGGGGAAUAUUGGACAAUGGGGGAAACCCUGAUCCAGCGACGCCGCGUGGGUGAAGAAGGCCUGCGGGUUGUAAAGCCCUUUCGGUAGGGACGAAAGCUCUCGACCUAACACGUCGGGAGGUUGACUUAACCUACAAAAGAAGCACCGGCUAACUCUGUGCCAGCAGCCGCGGUAAAAC
rnacentral:rRNA from 1 species